rnacentral:rRNA from 1 species
UACAGAGACUGCAAGCGUUAUUCGGAUUCACUGGGCGUAAAGGGUGCGCAGGCGGUUGUGUGUGUCAGGUGUGAAAGCCCGGGGCUUAACCCCGGAAUUGCGCCUGAAACUACAUGACUAGAGCAUUGGAGAGGGUAGCGGAAUUCACGGUGUAGCAGUGAAAUGCGUAGAUAUCGUGAGGAACACCAGAGGCGAAGGCGGCUCACUGGACCAUCACUGACGCUGAUGCACGAAAGCUAGGGGAGCAAACAGG